rnacentral:rRNA from 1 species
GACGAACGCUGGCGGCGUGCUUAACACAUGCAAGUCGAGCGGAGCGGCGAACGGGUGCGUAACGCGUGAGUAACUGCCCCCCUCUCUGGGAUACCAGUUGAAAACGGCUGCUCAUACCGGAUAGUGGGGGAUGACUCGCGUCCUCUCAGCUUGUUGGUGGGGUAGUGGCCUACCAAGGGGACGACGGGUAGCCGGCCUGGGCAGGCGACCGGCCACAGUGGGCGGAGAGACGGCGCAAACUCCUACGUGAGGCAGCAGUGGGGAAUAUGGCACAACGGGGGAAACCCUGAUGCAGCAACGCUUGGGCGUGAGGACGGCCUUCGGGUUGUAAACCGCUUUCAGCCAUGACGCGGUAGUGGCAGAAGAAGCACCGGCUAACUACGUGCCAGCAGCCGCGGUAAUUC